GGUUAAGCGACUAAGCGUACACGGUGGAUGCCCUGGCAGUCAGAGGCGAUGAAGGACGUGCUAAUCUGCGAUAAGCGUCGGUAAGGUGAUAUGAACCGUUAUAACCGGCGAUUUCCGAAUGGGGAAACCCAGUGUGAUUCGUCACACUAUCAUUAACUGAAUCCAUAGGUUAAUGAGGCGAACCGGGGGAACUGAAACAUCUAAGUACCCCGAGGAAAAGAAAUCAACCGAGAUUCCCCCAGUAGCGGCGAGCGAACGGGGAGCAGCCCAGAGCCUGAAUCAGUGUGUGUGUUAGUGGAAGCGUCUGGAAAGGCGUGCGAUACAGGGUGACAGCCCCGUACACAAAAAUGCACAUACUGUGAGCUCGAUGAGUAGGGCGGGACACGUGGUAUCCUGUCUGAAUAUGGGGGACCAUCCUCCAAGGCUAAAUACUCCUGACUGACCGAUAGUGAACCAGUACCGUGAGGGAAAGGCGAAAAGAACCCCGGCGAGGGGAGUGAAAAAGAACCUGAAACCGUGUACGUACAAGCAGUGGGAGCACGCUUAGGCGUGUGACUGCGUACCUUUUGUAUAAUGGGUCAGCGACUUAUAUUCUGUAGCAAGGUUAACCGAAUAGGGGAGCCGAAGGGAAACCGAGUCUUAACUGGGCGUUAAGUUGCAGGGUAUAGACCCGAAACCCGGUGAUCUAGCCAUGGGCAGGUUGAAGGUUGGGUAACACUAACUGGAGGACCGAACCGACUAAUGUUGAAAAAUUAGCGGAUGACUUGUGGCUGGGGGUGAAAGGCCAAUCAAACCGGGAGAUAGCUGGUUCUCCCCGAAAGCUAUUUAGGUAGCGCCUCGUGAAUUCAUCUCCGGGGGUAGAGCACUGUUUCGGCAAGGGGGUCAUCCCGACUUACCAACCCGAUGCAAACUGCGAAUACCGGAGAAUGUUAUCACGGGAGACACACGGCGGGUGCUAACGUCCGUCGUGAAGAGGGAAACAACCCAGACCGCCAGCUAAGGUCCCAAAGUCAUGGUUAAGUGGGAAACGAUGUGGGAAGGCCCAGACAGCCAGGAUGUUGGCUUAGAAGCAGCCAUCAUUUAAAGAAAGCGUAAUAGCUCACUGGUCGAGUCGGCCUGCGCGGAAGAUGUAACGGGGCUAAACCAUGCACCGAAGCUGCGGCAGCGACGCUUAUGCGUUGUUGGGUAGGGGAGCGUUCUGUAAGCCUGUGAAGGUGUGCUGUGAGGUAUGCUGGAGGUAUCAGAAGUGCGAAUGCUGACAUAAGUAACGAUAAAGCGGGUGAAAAGCCCGCUCGCCGGAAGACCAAGGGUUCCUGUCCAACGUUAAUCGGGGCAGGGUGAGUCGACCCCUAAGGCGAGGCCGAAAGGCGUAGUCGAUGGGAAACAGGUUAAUAUUCCUGUACUUGGUGUUACUGCGAAGGGGGGACGGAGAAGGCUAUGUUGGCCGGGCGACGGUUGUCCCGGUUUAAGCGUGUAGGCUGGUUUUCCAGGCAAAUCCGGAAAAUCAAGGCCGAGGCGUGAUGACGAGGCACUACGGUGCUGAAGCAACAAAUGCCCUGCUUCCAGGAAAAGCCUCUAAGCAUCAGGUAACAUCAAAUCGUACCCCAAACCGACACAGGUGGUCAGGUAGAGAAUACCAAGGCGCUUGAGAGAACUCGGGUGAAGGAACUAGGCAAAAUGGUGCCGUAACUUCGGGAGAAGGCACGCUGAUACGUAGGUGAAGCGACUUGCUCGUGGAGCUGAAAUCAGUCGAAGAUACCAGCUGGCUGCAACUGUUUAUUAAAAACACAGCACUGUGCAAACACGAAAGUGGACGUAUACGGUGUGACGCCUGCCCGGUGCCGGAAGGUUAAUUGAUGGGGUUAGCGCAAGCGAAGCUCUUGAUCGAAGCCCCGGUAAACGGCGGCCGUAACUAUAACGGUCCUAAGGUAGCGAAAUUCCUUGUCGGGUAAGUUCCGACCUGCACGAAUGGCGUAAUGAUGGCCAGGCUGUCUCCACCCGAGACUCAGUGAAAUUGAACUCGCUGUGAAGAUGCAGUGUACCCGCGGCAAGACGGAAAGACCCCGUGAACCUUUACUAUAGCUUGACACUGAACAUUGAGCCUUGAUGUGUAGGAUAGGUGGGAGGCUUUGAAGUGUGGACGCCAGUCUGCAUGGAGCCGACCUUGAAAUACCACCCUUUAAUGUUUGAUGUUCUAACGUGGACCCGUGAUCCGGGUUGCGGACAGUGUCUGGUGGGUAGUUUGACUGGGGCGGUCUCCUCCUAAAGAGUAACGGAGGAGCACGAAGGUUGGCUAAUCCUGGUCGGACAUCAGGAGGUUAGUGCAAUGGCAUAAGCCAGCUUGACUGCGAGCGUGACGGCGCGAGCAGGUGCGAAAGCAGGUCAUAGUGAUCCGGUGGUUCUGAAUGGAAGGGCCAUCGCUCAACGGAUAAAAGGUACUCCGGGGAUAACAGGCUGAUACCGCCCAAGAGUUCAUAUCGACGGCGGUGUUUGGCACCUCGAUGUCGGCUCAUCACAUCCUGGGGCUGAAGUAGGUCCCAAGGGUAUGGCUGUUCGCCAUUUAAAGUGGUACGCGAGCUGGGUUUAGAACGUCGUGAGACAGUUCGGUCCCUAUCUGCCGUGGGCGCUGGAGAACUGAGGGGGGCUGCUCCUAGUACGAGAGGACCGGAGUGGACGCAUCACUGGUGUUCGGGUUGUCAUGCCAAUGGCACUGCCCGGUAGCUAAAUGCGGAAGAGAUAAGUGCUGAAAGCAUCUAAGCACGAAACUUGCCCCGAGAUGAGUUCUCCCUGACCCUUUAAGGGUCCUGAAGGAACGUUGAAGACGACGACGUUGAUAGGCCGGGUGUGUAAGCGCAGCGAUGCGUUGAGCUAACCGGUACUAAUGAACCGUGAGGCUUAACCUU
rnacentral:rRNA from 1 species